UUGGGAAUAUUGCACAAUGGGCGACAGCCUGAUGCAGCGACGCCGCGUGAAGGAAGAAGGCCUUCGGGUUGUAAACUUCUUUUUUAUGGGACGAUUGUGACGGUACCGUAAGAAUAAGGACCUGCUAACUACGUGCCAGCAGCAGCGGUAAUACGUAGGGUCCGAGCGUUGUCCGGAUUUAUUGGGCGUAAAGAGCAUGUAGGUGGUAUGGAAAGUUGGAUUUGAAAUCUCCAGGCUCAACUUGGAUUUUGGAUCCAAAACUUCCUUACUUGAGGAUGGCAGGGGCAAGCGGAAUUAGCGGAGUAGCAGUGAAAUGCGUUGAUCUCGCUAAGAACACCAAUGGCGAAGGCAGCUUGCUAGGUCAUUUCUGACACUGAGAUGCGAAAGCGUGGGGAGCGAACGGG
rnacentral:rRNA from 1 species